rnacentral:rRNA from 1 species
AAUCAACGCUGGCGGCGUGCCUCAGACAUGCAAGUCGAACGAUUAAGACUUCCUUCGGGAAGUGCAUAAAGUGGCGCACGGGUGAGUAACACGUAAGUAAUCUACCUUCGAGUGGGGAAUAACGUCCGGAAACGGACGCUAAUACAGCAUAAUGCAGCGGCAUCUAAUGAUGACAGUUGUUAAAGGAGCAAUUCGCUUGAAGAGGAGCUUGCGGCAGAUUAGCUAGUUGGUAAGGUAAUGGCUUACCAAGGCUACGAUCUGUAUCCGGUCUAAGAGGGCGGUCGGACACACUGACACUGAAUAGCGGGUCAGACUCCUACGGGAGGCAGCAGUCGGGAAUUUUGGGCAAUGGGCGAAAGCCUGACACAGCAACGCCGCGUGAAGGAUGAAGUAUUUCGGUAUGUAAACUUCGAAAGAAUGGGAAGAAUAAAUUGACGGUACCAUUUAUAGGGUCCGGCUAACUACGUGCCAGCCGCCGCAGUAACAC